rnacentral:tRNA from 1 species
GGAGGUAUAGCUCAGCUGGUUAGAGCGUUUGCUUGACGUGCAAAAGGUCGCAGGUUCGAAUCCUGCUACCUUCACCA